rnacentral:rRNA from 1 species
CCAUGCANGUCGAGCGGCAGCGGANGUAGCUUGCUACUUUGCCGGCGAGCGGCGGACGGGUGAGUAAUGUCUGGGAAACUGCCUGAUGGAGGGGGAUAACUACUGGAAACGGUAGCUAAUACCGCAUGACCUCGAAAGAGCAAAGUGGGGGAUCUUCGGACCUCACGCCAUCGGAUGUGCCCAGAUGGGAUUAGCUAGUAGGUGAGGUAAUGGCUCACCUAGGCGACGAUCCCUAGCUGGUCUGAGAGGAUGACCAGCCACACUGGAACUGAGACACGGUCCAGACUCCUACGGGAGGCAGCAGUGGGGAAUAUUGCACAAUGGGCGCAAGCCUGAUGCAGCCAUGCCGCGUGUGUGAAGAAGGCCUUCGGGUUGUAAAGCACUUUCAGCGAGGAGGAAGGUGGUGAGCUUAAUACGUUCAUCAAUUGACGUUACUCGCAGAAGAAGCACCGGCUAACUCC